UUUUUUAAAAAAAAAAAAAAAAAAAAAAAAAAAAAAAAAUGCUUAAACCUCCAAACCUCCAGAAAACAGACGUCCUUAGAAAGCCAAACGUUUAGACAUGCAAAUUCAAAAGCAGGGGGCGCAAUGAUCACCCUGGAUAUUCAUCCGCAGCCUGUUCAGACAAUUUUGUAUAUAUGCCAUUUCUUUUAAUGAAUAUCUACUUUUGAUAAAUUUACGAGAGGAAAAUACAAACUUUGAUGGGUUACAUUUAUUUAUUUGCCAAUUUAUCCUUUAUUUAUUCAUACCUGGUGUUCAAUUUCAACUCUGUCGCGACCUCAACCAGCACUACACUUUUAAAUGAUGAGAGACUUAGGUCAAAAACGUGUGUUUGAACUAUGGACACUAAGUUAUGUGUAGAUCCAAAGAAGUAAGAUUUUUUUUUUUUUGUUAUAUAAGAAAAUUAUAAAUUGUUAAAUGAUCAAGAAAAAGUAACACAAUGUCAGCAAUUAUCCUUUAGCUCCCGUCUUAUUAGUAUUACAGUAUGAGGUAAUUAUUAACUUAAAAUACAGCAUAACUACUUUACAACAAGCAAUAAUAAAACAUUUUACAGACCUGCUGUCAAAAUAAAAUAAAAACUUGACUGUUUACUGUAUCAAAUGAUUACUGUAGGUUCUGCUGUACAGUCUGACGCUUUUAUUCCAAAAAUUGCUUUGGAAAUGUAAAAAUAUUACAAGUGGCUGCAGUAAAAGGCAUUUAAUUGAAUAUAUAUUUAAGAACAUCAACCCACAUCUUCAAAUACUAGGUACUGGCAACAUAUUUUUAUCUGUCAAUUAUUAAUAUUGUAAUUUAAAUUACUAUCUCAGAAUUUAAAAUACACAAUAAAUCUACAGCAAAAAGAUAUUAACAGAUUAUGCAGUGCAUAAUUGCUGAUAAUAGGGCAGAUUCACUGUAAAAGCCUUAAACUUUAGAGUGACAGUAUGUUGCUUCGACAGUCAAGUCGUUGUAAAUGCAGCCUUUAAUUUUCAAGACAACAACAAUUAUUUACAGUACAUAUACUAAUUACGAAAUAAAUUGUAUUUUUUUAAAAUCAUUUACCUUAAUUUAAGUGUGUGCUAAGAUGUCAUAUCAGACGGUUUUUGGUAACAUGGAAGGUAUGGGGGGAAAAAAUCCCACAUUUUGAACUACUUUAACAGCAAAAUUCAUAAUAAAACUUCUGAAACUCUGUUACAAUCGUUUUUUGGCUAAUGGUGGCCCCCACAUCUUUUCGCCCCCUAGUAUUGCUUUUUGGUUGUGUCCCUGCGUCAUGUGAGUGUGUUUGGUUUGAAUGCUGGACAGGGGUUCCUGAUUCUGCUCUUCGUCAAUUUAAUCGCUUUUUAUCUCAUCGUAUAAAACUUAAAACGCGACUUUUCAAA